UACAGAGGGGGCAAGCGUUAUUCGGAAUUAUUGGGCGUAAAGGGCGCGUAGGCGGCUUUGCAAGUGGCGGAUGAAAUCCCUCGGCUUAACCGAGGAACUGCCUGUCAAACUGCAUGGCUUGAGACCAGGAGAGGUGAGUGGAAUUCCCAGUGUAGCGGUGAAAUGCGUAGAUAUUGGGAGGAACACCAGUGGCGAAGGCGGCUCACUGGACUGGUACUGACGCUGAUGCGCGAAAGCGUGGGGAGCAAACAGG
rnacentral:rRNA from 1 species